GAUGCGGAAAAGGAAGAAGUAACGUCUUGAUCCCGGACCUCAACCCAGGAGUUCUGGGCUGCAUUGCGCUAUGCCAAGCAGGCGUCCCCGCUAAGGCCAGCAUCAAUAUGGUGAGCCCUGAGGAGCCAGGGCACACCAGGUUGACUAAGGAGGGGUGAACCGGCGCAGGUCAGAGAUGGAGCAGGUCAAAGCUCCUGUGCCGGUCAGUAGCACAAUCACGCCUGUGAAUAGCCACCGCAGCAUAACCUGGGCAACACAGUGAGACGUGGGUUCCUU
rnacentral:SRP_RNA from 1 species